rfam:Enterococcus rivorum strain LMG 25899 10, whole genome shotgun sequence.
GGUUAAUAAUUAACUGUACCGAAGACAGUAGGUGACGUAAGUCUUAAUUUCCUACCGAGGACAAUAUUGAUAACAGUCAAUAGUCCCUCUAUGUCAACGGUGGCAUGGAGUUUGUUUGUUUUGUAA